UACGUAGGUGGCAAGCGUUAUCCGGAAUUAUUGGGCGUAAAGAGCGCGCAGGUGGUUGAUUAAGUCUGAUGUGAAAGCCCACGGCUUAACCGUGGAGGGUCAUUGGAAACUGGUCGACUUGAGUGCAGAAGAGGGAAGUGGAAUUCCAUGUGUAGCGAUGAAAUGCGUAGAGAUAUGGAGGAACACCAGUGGCGAAGGCGGCUUCCUGGUCUGUAACUGACACUGAGGCGCGAAAGCGUGGGGAGCAAACAGGAUUAGA
rnacentral:rRNA from 1 species